AUAUUUUUGUUAUUUUUAUGCAAAUAAAGAAUGCUUUUUCAAUCCAAAAAAUAUGUUCCUAUCAGUUUACUAUCUGAUACGCCCCCUGUCCGGGGGCCACAUGUUAAAUGGAUUUUUAGAACAGGGAGAUGGAAGAAGAGCUUGCUCUGUCCACCCCAUGCAGUACUUGAAGGACCAGUGCACUUUUC